UCUUGACCUCAAAUCGGGUGAGACU
rnacentral:rRNA from 1 species